GAUAUGGACGUUUUAAGGUCGAAAGGUCAGUGGGCUAGGCCCAACUCGUGACCAACCGGGUUGGCCCAAAAAAAAAAAGAUAAAAGGGGAGAAAAUUUAGGCCCAAAAGAGGGGUGGCCGGCCAUAUGGCCCAAGCCCAUGGUAAUUCAUUAAUCCAUGUAUUAAAUGAGACAUUAGACCACAAUUCUUUCAUUUUCAAGAAUCUUCAAGAACAAAAUUGAGAGAAAAAGAAGAGCAAAAACUUGAAGGACCACACGGCCAAGUCCUUGGAAAAUUAGGUCCUCAAAAUCUUCCUCCAAAAAUUAUUAGCUUGUGGUUUUCCUACUCAAUUAAGGGUCCUUUACAACUUGGUGUAGUUGUUUUGGAAGAAGGAGCACUUAUUUCUUCAAGUUGACAACUUGUUCAAGUGAAGAAAUUUGUAGAAAAAGGUUUUGGACGAAACGGGAUUUGAGUUUUGGCAAGCGUAAAGGGCAAGAAAGGUACCGACGACAGGUUUGCUGAUCCGUCCGCUUAGGAUCUUAUUCUCCUAUUUUGGAGCGCUCUCUUAUCCAGAGCCCAUCUUUUGGUAUAGUCUGUCACUACUGUAUAUAUAUAUUCUCGUUCAUGGGUACGGCGGGGCCCUGUCCCGUCAUAUGAUUCUGUCGGUCUGUUUAGAGGUCUGUGGACAUGUUUGUGGGUUGGGGUCUUUCUGUACAGUUGCGUGUGUAUGUUGUGUUUGGGCGAUCUCAUUCGCCGCGGCGGCCGGUCCGCAUAUGUUUAAAUGUUGCUUCGUUGGCCCGGUGUGGUCUUUUGUUGGUAUUUUCUGUGCGCAGGGUUAUUUUGGAUAGCCUGUAAAACAAAGGAAACUCUGCCGAAAUUUUUCUGGAAAUUAUCUAACUUUGAAAUAUAGCCUUGUCGGCUUCCGCUAUAUACUUGAAUGCGUUUGAUAAAAUUUGAGAUAGCAUUUGAUAGAUGUGUUCGGGUGCUCAGAUCGGGCACUAGUCACGG